UACGUAGGAGGCAAGCGUUGUCCGGAGUUACUGGGCGUAAAGCGUGUGUAGGCGGUCGGAUGCGUCCGGUGUGAAAUCUCCCGGCUUACCUGGGAGGGGCAUCGGAUACGGUCGGACUUGAGGCAUCAGAGGCCAGUAGAACUCCCGGCUGGACCAGUGAAAUGGGUAGAGAUCGGGAAGAAUACCGAGUGGUGCAGACGGCUGGCUGGGUGUACCUGGACGCUGAGACACGAAAGCAUGGGAGCAACAGG
rnacentral:rRNA from 1 species